rnacentral:rRNA from 1 species
GAUGAACGCUAGCGGCAGGCUUAAUACAUGCAAGUCAAGGGGGUAGCAAUACAACCGGCGCACGGGUGAGUAACGCGUACACAACAUACCAUAUACUGGGGUAUAGCUCGGGAAACUGGAGAUAAUCCCCCAUAACAUUGCGAGAGGGCAUCUGAUUGCAAUUAAAGUUUCGACGGUAUAUGAUUGGUGUGCGUUUGAUUAGCUUGUUGGUAGGGUAACGGCCUACCAAGGCGACGAUCAAUAGCUGGCGUGAGAGCGCGACCAGCCACACUGGAACUGAGACACGGUCCAGACUCCUACGGGAGGCAGCAGUAGGGAAUAUUGGACAAUGGGCGAAAGCCUGAUCCAGCCAUGCCGCGUGAUAGAUGAAGGCCCUCUGGGUUGUAAAUAUCUUUUAUCUGGGAAGAAACUCCUCUAUUCUUAGAGGCCUGACGGUACCAGAGGAAUAAGCACCGGCUAACUCCGUGCCAGCAGCCGCGGUAAAGU